AUUGAACGCUGGCGGCAUGCCUUACACAUGCAAGUCGGACGGUAACAGGUCUUCGGAUGCUGACGAGUGGCGAACGGGUGAGUAAUACAUCGGAACGUGCCUAGUAGUGGGGGAUAACUACUCGAAAGAGUGGCUAAUACCGCAUGAGAUCUACGGAUGAAAGCAGGGGAUCGCAAGACCUUGUGCUAUUAGAGCGGCCGAUGGCAGAUUAGGUAGUUGGUGGGAUAAAAGCUUACCAAGCCGACGAUCUGUAGCUGGUCUGAGAGGACGAUCAGCCACACUGGGACUGAUGCACGUCCCAGACCCCUGCGGGAGGCAGCAGUGGGGAAUUUUGGACAAUGGGCGCAAGCCUGAUCCAGCAAUGCCGCGUGCAGGAUGAAGGCCUUCGGGUUGUAAACUGCUUUUGUACGGAACGAAAAGCCCUGGGUUAAUACCCUGGGGUCAUGACGGUACCGUAAGAAUAAGCACCGGCUAACUACGUGCCAGCAGCCGCCGUAACAC
rnacentral:rRNA from 1 species